rnacentral:rRNA from 1 species
UGGGGAAUAUUGCACAAUGGACGCAAGCCUGAUGCAGCCAUGCCGCGUGUAUGAAGAAGGCCUUCGGGUUGUAAAGUACUUUCAGCGGGGAGGAAGGUGUUGAGGUUAAUAACCUCAGCAAUUGACGUUACCCGCAGAAGAAGCACCGGCUAACUCCGUGCCAGCAGCCGCGGUAAUACGGAGGGUGCAAGCGUUAAUCGGAAUUACUGGGCGUAAAGCGCACGCAGGCGGUCUGUCAAGUCGGAUGUGAAAUCCCCGGGCUCAACCUGGGAACUGCAUUCGAAACUGGCAGGCUAGAGUCUUGUAGAGGGGGGUAGAAUUCCAGGUGUAGCGGUGAAAUGCGUAGAGAUCUGGAGGAAUACCGGUGGCGAAGGCGGCCCCCUGGACAAAGACUGACGCUCAGGUGCGAAAGCGUGGGGAGCAAACA